rnacentral:rRNA from 1 species
GACGAACGCUGGCGGCGUGCUUAACACAUGCAAGUCGAACGGAAAGGCCCUGCUUUUGUGGGGUGCUCGAGUGGCGAACGGGUGAGUAACACGUGAGUAACCUGCCCUUGACUUUGGGAUAACUUCAGGAAACUGGGGCUAAUACCGCAUAGCAGCUCCUGCUGCAUGGUGGGGGUUGGAAAGUUUCGGCGGUUGGGGAUGGACUCGCGGCUUAUCCGCUUGUUGGUGGGGUAGUGGCUUACCAAGGCUUUGACGGGUCGCCGGCCUGAGAGGGUGACCGGCCACAUUGGGACUGAGAGACGGCCCAGAGUCCUACGGGAGGCAGCAGUGGGGAAUAUUGCACAAUGGGCGGAAGCCGGAUGCAGCAACGCCGCGUGCGGGAUGACGGCCUUCGGGUUGUAAACCGCUUUGGCCUGUGACGAAGCGUGAGUGACGGUAAUGGGUAAAGAAGCACCGGCUAACUACGUG